GGAUGCUAUCAUACCAGCACUAAAGCAUCGGAUCGUAUCAGAACUCCGAAGUUAAGCGUGCUUGGGCGAGAGUAGUACUAGGAUGGGUGACCUACUGGGAAGUCCUCAUUUUGCAUUCC
rnacentral:rRNA from 1 species